GGGACAGAGAAGCUGAGGAACGCUGUCUAUGUUGUCUCAGCAAAGAGCCAAUUUAUUGAGUAUAGGUUACAUGUUGCAGAUGCCCACAUGGAAUCUUGCACAGCAGCCAAAGAGUUGUGGAGCAGUCUGAGGGCAAGGAAGGUCAGAAUUCAUACAGAUUCACAACAGCAAUUAUAGGAUGACAAACUCCACCCCUAAAACAAAUAUGACUGGUAAUCAUCAUCAACAAGUCUACUGACAGAAUUCCCAUCACAUAUGUCUACGGUCAAAGUGUCAAGCUGCUUGAUGAAAUGGCCCAGAUCAGGGUGUUGAGCUCAAAGAUGAAAGGGAGUUCUUGGUGCUCAGCAUUUGUUGAACAAGAAGUCAAGCAUUUGUUGAGACCAACAGGACCGCACCUGUUUGCAUGCAGAGAAGAAACCCACC